rnacentral:rRNA from 1 species
CCUACGGGUGGCAGCAGUGGGGGAUAUUGCACAAUGGGGGAAACCCUGAUGCAGCGACGCCGCGUGAGUGAAGAAGGAUUUCGGGAUGUAAAGCUCUAUCAGCAGGGAAGAAAAUGACAGUACCUGACCAAGAAGCCCCGGCUAACGACGAGCCAGCAGCCGCGGUCAUACGGAGGGGGCAAGCGUUAUCCGGAUUUACUGGGUGUAAAGGGAGCGGAGACGGUUAGGGCAGUCUGGAGUGACAGCCCGGGGCACAACCCCGGGACUGCUUUGGAAACUGUGUAACUGGAGUACAGGAGGGGCAGGCGGAAUUCCUGGUGUAGCGGUUAAAUGCGUCGAUAUCAGGAGGAACACCGGCGGCGAAGGCGGCCUGCUGGACUGAACCUGACGUUGAGGCUC